AAUCAUGAAUAACAUGAUAUGGGUUAUUGUGUCCCUUAAACUAUUUGUAGUCUGUUGGCUAAUUUAUAUUUUACUUGAACGACGCAAAAGAAAGAGAGAAAAUCAAAAUGUCAUUGUCAUCGAAGAAGGGGCCGUGACAACAUUCUCUGGUGCUCCAGUAACCCAAUUGCCAAAGGAUUGUCAAGAGUAUUACA